rfam:Oryza rufipogon genomic scaffold, chr12
AAUAAAUGCAGUUUUAGUACUGUUCAUGUCCAACGUUUGACCAUUUAUCUUAUUUGAAAAAAGAUUAUGAUUAGUAUUUUUAUUGUUAUUAGAUCAUAAAAUAUGAAUAGUACUUUAUAUGUGGCUAAUUUUUUAAAUAUUUUUUAAAUAAGACGGAUGAUCAAAUCGCUGAGCACAUAUAUCUAUGGCUACACUUAUU